UACAGAGGGUGCGAGCGUUGUCCGGAAUCACUGGGCGUAAAGGGCGCGUAGGCGGCCUGAUAAGUCGGGGGGUGAAAUUCUGUGGCUUAACCACAGGGCUGCCUCCGAGACUGUCGGGCUCGAGCACAGUAGAGGCAGGUGGAAUUCCCGGUGUAGCGGUGGAAUGCGUAGAGAUCGGGAAGAACAUCGGUGGCGAAGGCGGCCUGCUGGGCUGUUGCUGACGCUGAGGCGCGACAGCGUGGGGAGCAAACAGG
rnacentral:rRNA from 1 species